GCUUACGGCCACACCACCCUGAGAACGCCCGAUCUCGUCUGAUCUCGGAAGCUAAGCAGGGUCGGGCCUGGUUAGUACUUGGAUGGGAGACCGCCUGGGAAUACCAGGUGCUGUAAGCU
ensembl:rRNA 5S_rRNA 5S ribosomal RNA